rnacentral:rRNA from 1 species
AUUGAACGCUGGCGGCAUGCCUAACACAUGCAAGUCGAACGAGUGGCGGACGGGUGGGUAAUGUCUGGGAACCUGCCUGAUGGAGGGGGAUAACGACUGGAAACGGUAGCUACUACCGCUAACCAUCGGAUGUGCCCAGAUGGGAUUAGCUAGUUGGGGGGGUAACGGCUCACCUAGGCGACGAUCCCUAGCUGGUCUGAGAGGCUGACCGGCCACACUGGAACUGAGACACGGUCCAGACUCCUACGGGAGGCAGCAGUGGGGAAUAUUGGACAAGGGGCGAAAGCCUGAUGCAGCCAUGCCGCGUGUAUGAAGAAGGCUUUCGGGUUGUAAAGUACUUUCAGCGGGGAGGCGUUACCCGCAGAAGAAGCACCGGCUAACUCCGUGCCAGCAGCCGCGGUAAUAC